rnacentral:rRNA from 1 species
GGGUUUCGGCCCGUAUUGUGUGGUGACUCUGGAUAACUUUGUGCUGAUCGCAUGGCCACGAGCCGGCGACGUUUCUUUCAAGUGUCUGCCUUAUCAACUUUCGAUGGUAGGUUACUUGCUUACCAUGGUUGUUACGGGUAACGGAGAAUCAGGGUUCGAUUCCGGAGAGGGAGCCUGAGAAACGGCUACCACAUCCAAGGAAGGCAGCAGGCGCGCAUAUUACCCACUCCCGGCACGGGGAGGUAGUGACGAAAAAUAACAAUACGGGACUCUUUUGAGGCCCCGUAAUUGAAAUGAGUACACUCUAAAUCCUUUAACGAGGAUCAAUUGGAGGGCAAGUUCGGUGCCAGCAGCCGCGGUAAUUCCAGCUCCAAUAGCGUAUACUAAAGCUGCUGCGGUUAAAAAGCUCGUAGUUGGAUCUCAGUUCCAGACGAGUAGUGCAUCUACCCGAUGCGACGGCUCGGACUGAACAUCAUGCCGGUUCUUUCUUGGUGCACUUCAUUGUGUGCCUCGAGAUGGCCGGUGCUUUUACUUUGAAAAAAUUAGAGUGCUCAACGCAGGCGAGUCGCCUGAAUAAACUUGCAUGGAAUAAUA